GGUUUUAUAUAGGUGGUUGGAAAGUUGACCAAGUUGGCCAACUUUGAAAAUCCUGGCUAUGCUUACAUAACUAAUCACAUAGACCUGCUGAGACUUCAGAUAAGCAAGGGGCCCUUUCACCAGUAGAGGUAGGUUCUCAACCUGCAAAUAAUUUCUCUGAGCUGUGGCCAACCUCCAGAGAAAGGAUUCACGCUUCAUACUGUUCUUUUGUUGGCUGUCAUUGAAAAAUUAUAUUAUAGAAAGUUAUCAAAAAUAGCUAAUUGUUCUUAAGAAGAGUAUGUAAAUCUGGAGCCUGUCCUUGUCUGUCACUCACUAAACACUGUCAAGCCUGAAAGAAGAGGAAGGGUAAUCUCUGGCUGGUGAAAACUUUGUGCCCUAAGUCUGCCAAGGUAACCAAGUGGUGAGUGUUUCCUCUCCCAUUACCAGCAAGAAAGUUGAUUUGCGGUUGUACAAAUUAUGGUGGGACUGCAGACCUAUUUGCUAUAACUAUUGGAAAUAAGGAUUCAGAUUUUUUAUCUAAGUAAGCACAUAGUUCCAACCCCUGCAGAAUGCAUUUUGAUAAAGGAAAGACUUUUGUUGGGUAACAGAAGGAAAAACAGGACUUAUUUAUACAGUGAAUGUUCCCUCUGUGAGGAGCUGCCCUCCGGUUACAGAUGUUUUCUCACUUUGGCCACCUCCACACUUGAUGCCAACGUGUUUUCCACCCCGUCUUGAAGGAAGGAGCCCAAGUCAUUGCUGCUCCUCUGGGUGAAAGGCCCUGAUUACCGUACUGCAUUUGUUUAUAGGGAGGUGCGUUUUUGCUAACUUGAAGGGAUAUACUGUAUUUUAAAUAAGUGUGUAACUUAAUAUUUUGGAUUUUUUUUUCCUCCUUUAAAACUGGACCUGAACACAGCUUUGCGUUGGUAUUUGUAAUAAUCUCAGGACCUGAAAGAUUGUAGCAUUUAGUGUGUCUUAAAAAUUAUGUACUGUACCAGCCAUGGAUUUUUGUAAAUAUACCUGUCUCCCUUUUUUGUAUUAUUUUAGUAAAAAAAUAAUAAUAAAUUUAAAUAAAAGGGGGUGGUGAUGAUACAUGAGUGGGUGUGGGUAUGUAUGUGUGUAUGUUUGUAUAAGGCUCUCUUGAGAUGAACUGGUGCUUGUUUAAUUUCCGGCUCUAAUCAGAGCAGGAAUAUGGACAAACUGCUGCUACUGAACCCUGCACUGAGCCACGGUGUUUCCAUUGUGUUUCCUAGCGAUCGAUUAAACACAGGCGACCAGUGGAUAAUUACGUUAAUUCUCCUCCCGCUGCCACCUUGCCUUUGCAUUUUCAGUUCUACACCCCUUCUGAAUUUCAAUGGUAAAAGCUCUCCAAACUUUGGGUGGUUUGUGGCUCUCGAGUUUUUAGAGAGCUCUUGUCACUGUUCUYUAAGAAGAAAGAAGGACAGGCAAAUUUUUUUUUUAACCAAAACCAAAAACAAAAACCAAUCACAUUUCAUAAAACCGUGAUGAAUUGUGGAUACGUGAGAGGGCUUAAACAUUCCUAAAUGUGGAUCUGUGAAUUUAAUAAAUUAACCCCAUCGAUAUACUCCUUCAGUGCAGGGAUUUUUUUUUUUUUUUUUUCUUGCAACAGCCUUGCUCAUAUUCCAGGUGUAGCUAAGCAAACCCCUGUUUUAAAGCAGGAGCCUUAUUUGAUUCAGUGUAGAUGUUUUCCUGUCUAUCCUUUGUGACAGGGCCUUUUACAUGAGUGUUUUUUCUUUUUGUAUGUGUUAUGUGUUUGUUGUAUUAAAUAAAGAGGAAUGUACAUAUUAAAAAAAAA
rnacentral:sRNA from 1 species